rnacentral:misc_RNA from 1 species
GAUGAAGAACGCAGCGAAAUGCGAUAAGUAAUGUGAAUUGCAGAAUUCAGUGAAUCAUCGAAUCUUUGAACGCACAUUGCGCCCGCCAGCACUCUGGCGGGCAUGCCUGUCCGAGCGUCAUUUCAACCCUCGAGCACCGCUCGGCGUUGGGGGAGCGGCCCGCGCGCCGCCCCCCGAAAUGCAGUGGCGACCUCGCCGCGUUCCUCCCCUGCGCAGUAGCUCUCAAGAGAACCUCGCAUCGGCGGCGCGGCGGCGGUCACGCCGUGAAACACCCCCCUCAAGAGUUGACCUCGGAUCAGGUAGGGAUACCCGCUGAACUUAAGCAUAUCAAUAGGGAGGA